AGGGGGGAUAUCAAGGGCAGUAGUUGAUUAUGGGAUCUGGUCUACUAAAUGCAAAAGUCAAGAACAGCUGCUUAUGGAAGUCAAGGACAGCAGCUGAUUAUGGGAUCUGGUCUGCUAGCAAAAGUAAAAGUCAAGAACAGCUGCUUAUGGAAGUCAUGGGCAACAACUGAUUAUGGGAUCUGAUCUGCUAGCAAAAGACAAGAACAACUGCUUAUGGGAUCUAGUCUACUAAUUGCACUAAUCAAGGAGAGCUGAUUAUGGUCUACUAUAUUAGAUGUAUAUUAGCAUAUCUGUAAUUAAUACAUUAGGGAGGUAGAUAUUCUGACGGAGGAGAGAAGGUACAGAGUUUUUCUAUUUAAAUGGAAAAGAUGCACAAAAGAUGCAUUCAGUCUUUGAUCUAGAAAACUUGUCAUUGGGGUGUAUUUGAUAAAACUGAAGUCUGAAUCCAUUAAGUUAUUGAAUUGUUAAGUAUUAAAUCUAAUACAAUUAAGUGCAUAUCACAUUCAGUGAUAAGUGAAUAGCUUAUCACUUAAUUUUGAGAGCAAGUUGUCUAUAAAAUUCAAUGUCACUUAAUUAAUUCAGAUGUUCAAUUUUGGUUAUCAAACGGUCUACAUAUGUUAAAAUCUGAAUCCAUUAAGUUUAAGUACUGAAUUGGGUUAUCAAACACAGCCUUAGUGUGCAAAACGAGUCAAUAUAUCAACAAAAUCUGUCCGACACAAAUCUAAUCUUAGUUUGAACUAAUAUUCAACACAAUGAAUGAAGUCAAGGAACACUCAAAAUCCGCACUAGAAACUCAAAAUGAGAUGUUGCCUGAAAUAAGUGAGUCCAGACAAAGCUAUAACCAGUUUGGCUUUAAACCAGUGGCUGGAGAGAUUACUUUUGUUCAUAUCCUAUUUUCACCAAACUGGAAAAUUGCAUCAAAUAUAGUAAGGCAAGAAAAGAGGACCCACAAAGGAACUCCCACAGUGGUUAGCUCAACAGAACAAGAAAAUUACUAGCACACCACAAGAUACAUGUUUCUAAUCGGAUAAAUAAUGUAAACAGCAAAAGCAAUUGAACAAUGAGAAUUACUUGAAUGCUAACCAUCCUUUAUCCUGAAUGACAUUCACAAUGUGUCUUGCCAAGUCCAAUAAAUAAACAAGAAAUAAGGUGUGUGGAACAAGCAUUAAUGCACAACAAAGGUCUCAAAACAGACGAGCGUGCUAUAAGCAUCAGUAACGCUUUGGUCACCUGUUUAAGCCUUCUAAAUUCUCUUUUAGCCAUCUUUUGCCUCCAAAGACAUUGUAUAGCGAUAAUAUUAGAUUGCCGGUGACAGUAAGCAGAGCGAAUCUUACACAUCCUCCAAAAAGCCUGUGGGAUAACAAGACAACAGUUCAGAAUGUACUUGCAAUUGUAAUGCAAACUAACAAGACAACACACGCAGGAUCAGGAUACAAACACAAGGAGACCAAAGUAAAAGGGAAUUUUAGGGGUUUAGAACACGUGAAGUAUUCAUUUCUUCUCCUCCUCCUCCUCCUCCUCCUGGUACCAAAAAUUCACUAGCUGAGGUUACCCCAUCCCAAGGCCAAAGCAUGCCAUCAGCCCCACAGGGACUUAUGGUGGUUCUUCCAGAUUGCCUACAGACCAGGGUCCACUAGCAGCUGGAUUUGAACUAAAGCUUCUCUCAGCAAAGGCAUCAUGAUGUCACCAGUUGAGGCAACCCUCGUUGGUUCAGUUAAGUAUUGAUUGUGCACUAUUAUGGCACACAUCUGAUGCUUCUAUGUGUUUUCACAUUGUAAAGAAUUUAACAGGGAUUUACUCAUCCAGCAGUCAAUAAUUUGAGAGGUUACGGCAUAACUAGCGAGUUCAGCAGGAAAAAAAUCCAAGAAAGUCUUUCAUACACCAAAGGAGAAAAAUAAAGAACUUCUUCAGCAUCCAUGACUAUCUCAACAACUCUAUAAUGCAUGCUCACAGUGGGCUUAAAAGUAUCAUAAUCUCCCAUCAUCCAAGAAUAUCUUGCUUCUAUGGUUCCUCGUCUGCCCACUUUCCACCAAAAUGGGACAACAUACUCUUUCCCAGUACAUACUUUACGCACCAAAAAAUGCAACUGUCCAACACUAGGCUGCACAAAUUAUUUAAAUCUCUUCAAACUACUCAAAAUUUCAACCAUCUCACAAUACUUGUGCCCAACCAAACAUACAUGUAAUUUGUAAAAGAGAGCAUGAUUUCUUGUUCUUUAAAUAAAUCACUACUAUACACUUUCACUGAGGCGAGAAGUAGAUUGUUUUGAAUUCAGUCCACUUCCAAGAAAUGUAGCUCGUGAAUGUGUUACUAACAUCACAACAUGAACAAAACAAAGCUGCCAAGUACUUCAACUUACACAUCCAUAUUCCAAAUGUUUCGAAGAAAACUACAAAAAAGAAAUAUGGCAAGGUACAAUUCUCUACCUGAAUUAUAGAAGCAGCUCUGUGCUCCUUCCUGUACAAAAACUUUUGCCGUGCAGAGAAACCACGGAUGCUAGACUGUAUGAAUACAAUUGACAUGUAAAGCUGAACAUAGGCAUGCCUGAACAACCAUCUCCGGGCAUAUUUCUGUAUGAUAAUAGCAGCUGUUUCCUCUCUUAUUGAAGUAUACAGUUUUCGAGCAAGAUGACCUGCAAAACAUAAGCACCGUACUC
rnacentral:lncRNA from 1 species